AUUCAGUCUUAGGGAUUGCUUUCAUUCAGCUAGGCAAAAAGGCUUUGAGCAGCCCUACAAUCGCCUUCCUCUCAUUUAUUUGUGCUAGAAUUAAGGUUUAUUUGUUUUCUGUUUUCUUCGUCUUCAGAUUGUUUCUCUGUCUUCAUCCAUUUCGCAAACCCUUUCCUCUGUAUCUCAGAAGGAAGGACCUCCAGGGCCUACAUGUCUGCAGCCCGCACAGCCUCCUUUGAAUGCAUGUCUCUCCGUCUAACUGGAGCUUCUGAAUAUCUCUCAAGGUAAGUCAAGAAUGUAGCCAGAAAGUUCUUUCAGAUUUAUGUGUGCAGCUAUACAACAGUUUGGUCUGAAACCCAUUCAGCCAGCAGUCUUAAUGACAUCAUUAUUACGCUGUCUGGACGGGGCUAGAUUUUCCUCGGAGCCUCAGUGUGUUAUUAGGAACCUUCCUUUCUGUGCGAAUGGCACUCGCUGAGGGUGGGGAGGUGAUUUAGAGCUAGAGGGGAAAUAGAUUUUUGUUCAACCUGGUUUGCAAGAAUAAUAGAAAAAAAAAAAGCAAAGAGCAACCCCCUUUAACUUUAUUUUCAGGGACAUAUAUCCUGUGAGCUCUGAAAUUCCUAACUUCUCAUCCUUGAUAAGAAAAUUGAGAAUGAUGCCAGAAUAUUAUACACUUGUUUUUGUUUUUUUUAAAUGUCCAAGUGUUCUAUUUUAGAUGAAAAGAUCUGGAUAUAUUUUUUUUGGUUGUAUUAUUCAGAGCAGAAGACUGGUAUUUGUUUGAAAAUAUCUUGAAUUGUCCUAAUAGCACUUAACUAAGCUGAGUUUUUCUUCUUUCUCCCUCUUAAAAAAACAAAAAACAUGCUUUUGAUUUUUUUUUUCUUGAAGAAAGCAGUGUUAGUUUGGGGACAAACUUAGCUGGGAUUUGAUGACAGGUCAUUUGUAAGAAGGGUUAUUGGCAAAACCUGUAAAAUGCUGUCAGCAUGCAUUUUAAAGUCUCACAGAGUGAUUACAGAGAUCACACACUUGCAUCUUAUUUUUCCUUAAAUAUGAUUACGGGGCUCACGUUCUUCUGGAAGAGAAUCACAUAUUGCAAAAAUAGAAUAAAAGAACUGUAGCUUUAGGCAACUGAAUAAAUGCUGUAUCCAUCAAUUCUGGUUUUCUUUAAAGUGGUGAUUUGAUAUGGCUGUUACAACAUCUCAAUUUAAAUGAAUAAGUUCAUUGAAAAACUAAAGCAUUUUAGAGCAAUAAGUGACAAACUGACUUGAUCAUAGCACAUAAAACAAAAAUGUCCACCUCUCAAAGCUUAAGAUCUACUCUAACAUUUGUUUGUUAAAAGGUUUGUUAGCAUGUAACAAAUGUAUUGAGAUAACAAAGGGGAAGGCUGCUCCACUCUUCCUGCAAAGUGCAGCCUUGUGAUCAUAAUAUUUAGACAAUUAUGUAGGACACAUUAAAAUGUUCUUUUCUUUUAUAGAAAAUAUCUAGGACAUUGAAAUAUAUUGCCUGAAUAUUACAUUGUUUAUGUAGACAAUAUGUUUUAAUAUGGGGACAUAUAAGAGACUUUGUUCUUCUAUAGCUCCUGAUGCCUUCUUUUGAAUUUUAUUAAUUUAAUAAGCAAGCACUUGUUAUAAUUAGUUAACUUUAAUUGCUAGGCAUCUUCAGUUUCAUUCUCAGAUUAACUAAAUUGAUAGAAAUAGGCAAUUUCACUUGAAAGUGAUGCAAGAAGAUGUCAAAUUUUCUUUUUAGGCUUCAAACAAGAAAAGCAAUAAAAAUAAUUUUCUAAUUCUGUGAGCCUGGAUGCCAGGGGAAAAAGCAUGUUUCAGUAGAAGCUCCAUGUACUUCAUCCCAUUCUGAGAAAAUGGAACUCCGAAUCUCUUCGGAUAAUUUUUUUCCAUAUCUUAUCACAAAGGAAAAAUGAAUCAUAAAAUAUCCUGCAUGCCACUUCUACAUGAAAGGGGAGAUCAGGAGUCCCAUGCUUUCUGCACCCAUCACUGUGGCUCUCUGGGUGGCUGCCUGUGCCUCAGCAGUUGGCCACAAUCAGGCGAACCAGUUUGGAAGCUGAAAGAGACACAGUGGAGGGUGAGGGGAGGAGGAGGAGGAGGAGGAGGAAGAGGAGGAGGAGGAGAUCUUGUUUGGAAGGAAAGUUGAGACAGAGCACUUGUUUCAUUUGUUACUGUCUAUCAAUACAUUUCCAGAUAUACUUAAAAAAAAAGAAAAGAAAAGAAAAG
rnacentral:lncRNA from 1 species